GACGAACGCUGGCGGCGUGCCUAAUACAUGCAAGUAGAACGCACAGUUUAUACCGUAGCUUGCUACACCAUAGACUGUGAGUUGCGAACGGGUGAGUAACGCGUAGGUAACCUGCCUGGUAGCGGGGGAUAACUAUUGGAAACGAUAGCUAAUACCGCAUAAUAUUAAUUAUUGCAUGAUAAUUAAUUGAAAGGUGCAAUUGCACCACUACCAGAUGGACCUGCGUUGUAUUAGCUAGUAGGUGAGGUAACGGCUCACCUAGGCGACGAUACAUAGCCGACGUGAGAGGGGGAUCGGCCACACUGGGAAGGGACCACGGCCCAAACUCCUACGGGAGGCAGCAGGAGGGAAUCUUGGGCAAUGGACGAAAGUCUGACCGAGCAACGCCGGGUGAGUGAAGAAGGUUUUGGGAUCGUAAAGCCCUUUUGUAAGGGAAGAACGGGUGGGGGGGGGGAAAGUGCACACUGUGACGGUAUCUUACCAGAAAGGGACGGCUAACUACGG
rnacentral:rRNA from 1 species